GCCCUUAUAGCGUAGUGGCAGCGCAUUCCGCUUGUAAAUUUUGAAUUUUCAAGACUGAUGCACACGGAAAGGUCCUGUGUUCAACCCACAGUGGGGGCA